rnacentral:misc_RNA from 1 species
CCUAGAUUAAAAGCCGGAGAAGCUGCUUAAACAGAAGAACAAAGACGGACGUCAAGGUAUUCCGAAUUCCCUCGUAUAUUUGUUAUACAGCGCGAAACGGACACACGAGACAGACAUUUGCUCACUCCUCAGAUCUCCUCUUUCAACCCCUGUUUCUUCCGGAGCCAUUAGCCAAUUUUCUAGCGUCUGCAGCUAUAUACAAAGCUUUUCACACAGCCCAAAAUAGAUAGAGACACAGUGAUGGGUAACAGAAACAGGGCAGAAGCUGACACUGAUACUUGUUUAAGCGAAGCGUUGUUGUUUGC